rnacentral:rRNA from 1 species
CCUACGGGUCGCACCAGUGGGGAAUUUUGGACAAUGGGCGCAAGCCUGAUCCAGCCAUGCCGCGUGCAGGAAGAAGGCCUUCGGGUUGUAAACUGCUUUUGUACGGAACGAAAAAGCCCUGGUUAAUACCUAGGGCUGAUGACGGUACCGUAAGAAUAAGCACCGGCUAACUACGUGCCAGCAGCCGCGGUAAUACGUAGGGUGCGAGCGUUAAUCGGAAUUACUGGGCGUAAAGCGUGCGCAGGCGGUUUUGUAAGACAGAGGUGAAAUCCCCGGGCUCAACCUGGGAACUGCCUUUGUGACUGCAAGGCUGGAGUGCGGCAGAGGGGGAUGGAAUUCCGCGUGUAGCAGUGAAAUGCGUAGAUAUGCGGAGGAACACCGAUGGCGAAGGCAAUCCCCUGGGCCUGCACUGACGCUCAUGCACGAAAGCGUGGGGAGCAAACAGGAUUAGAUACCCUCGUAGUC